rnacentral:tRNA from 1 species
UACCUCAGUCGUUAGAGAAUCUGCCUGCAAUGCUGGAGACCCAGGUUCGAUUCCUGG